rnacentral:rRNA from 1 species
UACGGAGGGAGCGAGCGUUGUUCGGAAUCAUUGGGCGUAAAGAGCGCGCAGGCGGUUGGGUGAGUCAGACGUGGAAGCCCAUGGCUUAACCAUGGAAUUGCGUUUGAUACUGCCCGGCUAGAGUUCGGGAGAGGGUGGCGGAAUUCCCAGUGUAGAGGUGAAAUUCGUAGAUAUUGGGAGGAACACCUGUGGCGAAGGCGGCUACCUGGACCGAUACUGACGCUGAGGCGCGAAAGCCAGGGGAGCGAACGGG